UGUCCCUGAGGCCUGGGUGAGAGGGGAGUGGGAAGCACAGGUGGUACCAGGGUACCCAUUGCCCACCCUCCAUGUCCCACUGAUGCUGAAGAGGUUGCCCAGCGAGUACCGAGAAAAGGACAAGCAAAGAUUCUAAGGGAUGCAAAAAGGAGCAGAGAGCUCCCUUCUGAGCAUGGGCGCAAAGGCUCCCUGACAAGCGGUCGCUCCCAUGGACUUUUGGUGUAUAGGCUGCUAAUUAAGAAACCAGAGGCCUGAAAUCACUUGCUUUUAUCCUGCAGUUUUUCUCUUGUAGGGAUCUCCUGGGGUUCCGUUAGUCAGCACAUUGAGGGGAUUAGAGAGCCCUGGGAGACACCUUCAGAAAUACUAGGGAGCUAAUUAAAGCAGGCAAGGGGAGCUGGCCACAGGAGGAGUUUCACAGAUACACAGGCAUUCAAAGGCACAGGCAGAAAAGGCAAGACAAGGAGAAAGAUGGAGCUUUAAAGAGAGGCAGAGAAAGGGAGACCACCUGCAAGGAAUAAGAAUUAUUAGCAACUUUCUUCUUCACCAGCAGCCAUGUUUUCCCUCCAGAUUUUACCCACAGGAACAGCACCAUGGCCAUUACAGAAUUUUUUCCUAAAACAACAGGAAUUGCUUGCUCAAUUCCAGUCAUUAACAGCUCUGUUUCUCACGCUCAGCUGCCUUUUCUUUUGGAUCCUGAGCAUUUCCCAUUACAAGAUCCUGCUUUGCAUAACUUUGAAAUAUUUGGGUUCACAUUUUCCUUGAUAUUUGUUCACUACAGGAAAAAAAUUGGAGUAGAAGUAUGAAGUAAUAUUGACAAUGUCUGAGAAGGGAGUCAGAGGACAAUAAAUUGGUUUGCCACUUUAUAGAAAUAUUUAUGAUGAUUCAUUGAAUAGCUCCUGCUAUAUGAGUAAGGAAGCUGAGAUUUGGAGUGGAGAUCUCCUUUGUAUCAAAGAUUUGGCUUUGCCACCCUUUCCACUUCCAGUGACUUGUAAGCCAAAGAGAAAUCCCGUUCACAUGGUCCUGGUACAGGCUAUGUCUGUUGGAGCCUUUCUGUCCUCUCUAGUCAUGGGGAGGCCAGUGUGGAACAGCCAGCCGUAAAUCCAAAGGAGAAAGGGGCUUAGAAGUCCUCAGAGGUUUCUUAGACCUUCCUGAGUUGGCGACAUUCCCACAGGCUGGGCAAGAGACCUCCAGACAUCCCUUCCACCACUGCCUGUAAGAUUUUAUUUAGGGAAUAGCAGAGUCCCACUGUUGUCUCUUAUCUCCAGGGGCUGGUCUGCCAAGAAGAUAAAUGGCCUGGCAGCACUGCUAGCUGCUCCCUUUGCCCAAGCACUGAAACAUGAUGGAACCACUUGAGGCUUUAAAAUUAGUGUUUAAAAAAGGUGAUGGGGCGGGGGAAUGAAUGCAUGUUGAGAAAUGCAGAAAAGCGUAUUGUUUGUGCGAAGUCAAAUACUUGAAAAAACCAGAAACAGCAGCAAUGAGGGUGCUAUCCUUUUCCUCUCACACUGGAAUAUUGCACCAGCCCACGAGUGCGUCCUGAAGUGGGCUCGAGCCUGGUGCUGAUAGUGUUAUAGGUGAACCUCAGCGCUGGGGAGCAGAUGAGUUGGCUCACUCUGCUUACAAAAAAACCACAGCCAUGACUCAGAAACGCAAGUUAGAGUACUCUCCAUGCUGAGAGGGUCCCAGGCAGCAGGGAUGAUGGAGAGACGGUAGCAGCAGCAGGUCAGUGAAGCAAACCGAAUUUGAGAGGAAGGGUUCACUCUGGAGAGGCUGAAAGAAAACAGCAAUCAUGGCAGUUAGCAAAAUAAUAAAUAAGCCCUCUGUUUUUUGUGAGACAAAUGGUCACAGCUGAGCAAAUGCCUAGCAAUGGGCUGUCUGGUGUGAAUGAUGGAUAGAGAGACGAACAAGGCUAGAUGAGGUUUCAUGAGCAAAGUAAAUACAUAAAAGCAACCACUUGGCAGAAGAGCUGCAAUGAGUGGGAUAUUUGGAGGUGGUUUUCUGAACACACACCCCUUAGCAGGGAGAGGUUCUCUCUGCUCAUCAGAAGCCCAUGGAAUUAUACAGAUUCACAGAGGAUAAAACCUUCUAGAUCAACUUUUAUAAAUCAUUUGGCCAGAAAACAGAAAUAAAAAUGGCUUUCACCCUACCAUUUUCAAACUGGAAAAUUUUGCCUGUUUCAAAAAACCACUGUUUUAAUUUCAAAAUGGACCUAGGUGUUUGAAGAAUAGAAAUAAUCACACAAUCCAAGCUGAAAUGCAGAGGGUUUGUUUUUGCCAGGCAAAUGCUGACAGUCAGCUUUAACCUUCGUGAGGCUCGGAGAGUGGCUGAAGGCUGGGCGAGGUGCUGAUUCAUACACAGGAAACAUCUAUUUGUAAUAAGACCAAGGAUUAGCUAUUUUUGCCCCCUGAAAUUUUGCUACAAAAUAUUGUAGGUUUCAAAGGCAAGUGGGCAGAUGAAUGGGGAAUGAAUCCGUGAAGGGCUAUUAGUACAAAAACAUCAAUAGGCAACUGUGAGCUGAAAAUGCUUGGGAAAAUAACGAAAAAAAGUACUCGCCCUGUUCUUAUACACAUCUCUCGGUGUCCACAUUAACCACUUUGAAGAUAGAAACCUGGGUUACCUAUACUUUUGGUCUGACCCGUAAUAGCUGCUCUUGCGUAUCAUAAACUGAAACCGAAAAUGCCCUUGUUUUAUUCCUUUAUUUCUAAGCCCAAACUGAGUCAUGAACUGAGUCAUUUCUGCUGCUAUUCCAGCUCCUGCUACGAUCCGACCUAGUUCCCGCUGACCUCGCUCCUUAGCCUCACUGUUCCUUCAAAGUUUCAUCUCUUAUAGCAAACCGUAUACAAAUAAUUCAGGUUUUUUUCCAAUACUGCUUUGCGCUUGCACCGUUAGUAGCAUGGCGACUUACGCGCCGUCGCUGGCAGGUGCAGGUGCCACCUGCGACAGGCCCGUGGGUCAGCAGCAUUUGGGAGCAGCAACCACCAACACACUACAGAUGCUGUUGGAGAUGAAAUCUUCAAACGAGGAGCUCAGGUUUCGGAACUGCUGAUUUUUGAUCCAGCCAGGGCUAAUUUCCAAAUCCCACUGUUAACUUUUGCCCCAAAAUCUCCCUAAUCUGUUGUCUUCAUCUCCUAAAGGAACGGUGAAUUCAUUGGUUCAGCAGCCAAAUAAAGCAUACAGGGAAACAAAUACAUUUCAGAGGAAAUUAAAUGCAUUUUCUGGGGUUAUUGACAAAAUACACAAAAUCCUCUCUUGCAACAAGAUAAACAUGCUGUUUGACCCAAAAAGUCGUGAUGUGCUGGUAGAUUCAUAGAAUUUUUAAGGUUGGAAAAGACCCGUAAGAUCAUUGAGUCCAACCACUAACCUAUCGCUGCCAAGCCCACCACUAAACCAUAUCCUCAAGCACCACGUCUGCCCUUCUUUUAAAUACCUCCAGGGACGGAGACUCCACCACCUCCCUGGGCAGCCUGUGCCAAUGCUUAGCCCUUUUGUUUAAACUCUCCUUUUUCACGUGCAACAUAUGACAAUUUUUCAGCAAAUACUGUCUUUUACCUGAAAAAGCAAAGGAGCCCACUUUGAAAAAGCUGGAAUGAGGCCUCUCAUGCAGUGACAGGCAGGGUGAAGAGCUGCUCCCCGGAGCCCUGAAGUGGCACUGAGCCUCUCUCCUCAACCUGUGAGCGAGGCAAAGCACCCCGGUGCUGCCCGCACGCUGCCUGCACCUCGCCUGCCUGCACCUCACCUCCCAGCGCGUUGCUCUGCUCAUCGGGGAAUGCAAAGAGAGAAACCGCCAGCUGAGAUUCAGCGUUUUAUCUACAAUUGUUAUCUCCCCGUUUUCCUAGUCCCGGGGACCUCAUUUGCUGAUGACAGGACUUAAUGAAAAGCCGUACUCAUCCCUUUUGUUAAGAUUAAAGAAAUGGCAACCAGUACUGUAUGCUGCAGCAUCUCGGCUCUGGCGUGGUCAGGCGGACGAGGGGGUGGCAAGUGUUAGCCUCUCAUCUCAGGUGGUUUCUCAUUGUCCUGCCCUUGUCUCAGACUCUGUCAUGAAACACAGGAAGGCAGUUUCGAUAAACUCUUGUGGCCACAACAGAGGACAGAUGUCACGAUGUGGUCUUGAAGUAGAGAAUCAUGGAAUCGUUAAGGCUGGAAAAGACCCUUAGGAUCAUCCAGCCCAACUGCAAACCUAUCACUGCCAAGUCCUCCACGAAACCAGAGGGAGAGGUAACUGUUGGACUCAUACAGUGUGUAGCUCUCACACUGACUCGUGUGGGUGAGAGGAGACUUUCCUCUUAAACGCAGGGCAAGGUUGUUUCUUACCUUGUUCACCUGCAGAAACGAACACACAGCCCCACUGGUGUUAUUUCUUAUUACCUUCAUUCCACUUCCGCGGGCCGGGGGUUUCAGCCCACUGCCUGUAGCUGCAGGACUUGCCUGAGACUCACUGGUAACUCGACCUUUUUUGCAAGCCUGCUUGCUCGUGUAGAUCCCCAGUGGCGUGAAUACCUCAGAGCUCCGGUUUUGGGCUCCCUUGCUGGGCGGAUCUGCGUGGUUCAAGCCCUGCUCCCCUUGAAGUCCUUGUGGUGUUCCAGCUGAGACUGAUGGCCAUGUUGACUCUGCAGUGAAUGGGGCAACACGAUGUGGCUUAUGACGUUUUUAUUUCCUUUGCCUGCAAAUUUCCUAGUUUCAGACCCUUUCAGGACACAGAGCAUAGAAACCAAGGUGUGGUUUAUAGCACAGUUCCUCCCGGUGCUUCUCCACGGAACAAGUCCGAUGAGGCAAUUCCAGUCCUCCAAGGGAGCUGUAAUUCAGUAACCAAAAUUCAGUAUUGUUUCGGCAGCUGUUAUUCUGAGCAAACUUUUGAUCACUACCUUUAUGACAUUGCAAUUUCAGCAAGAGCAUGGUCAAUAUAUGGCUGUACAACAAAAUACCAUAGCAUUACGAGUAAUAGUACUGUAAAUAGUCUUCUCAACACCCUAACCUUAAUACACAGCUACGUUAAGUUCAGUUGUUACAGUACCCAUCACAGCAGCGUGGUAGCAGGCCAAAUUACUAGCAUUCAGUAAGUGUUACCAAGAGACUCACAAGCAGUAUAAAAGUGUUAUGUUUUUCCACGCACAGAACGGAACAGAUGUCUUCAGCAGUGAAAUUCACCCUGUGCCGAGGACAGCACAGUCUGGCCCUGAAUGCUGGGCUGGAAGGCGAUGGUAGGGCUUAAAAUCAUCUGUAACAGGUCAGACUCAAGAUCAGCCCACGUCUUAUCAAAGUCAAGCAUAGAGGUCUAAAGGGAGUGUCAAAACAGGGUAAGUAUGAAGUGGUACUUCCCAAGCUUUUCCUGGUGCCCAGUAACUCAUACCCUGGGGAUUUCCCAACCCCUUUGUAUUUCAGAAGCCUUGAUCAUCUUUUUCCUUCCUUGAAUUUGCCCAAGAGCUCUUCGAACCCAUAUAUAUCUGCAUGCAGACCUUCUUGCUUCGACUUCGCAAGCAGGGCAAAAUCUUCCUUUCACCUAAUCGGGGGGCUUUCAACCACCCUCCCUCACCUUGUCAAUCGUAGGUGUCGGCCGAGGGGGACAUUUAAUUUAACUGUGAGGUGAAUGAGCCUAGAGGUGGAUGCACAGCUAACAUGUAGAGAACCUCUCCUUGAUCAUGGUGGUUGUUAAAAUACCCUCAGGGGCUGGCUUUAAAAGGAGACCCUUCAAAGGGUUAGAAGGGCAAAAUCCAUCAAGGGAAGCUGAUAGGACAUGGAAUAGUAAAAUUCUCUUUUGAGCCACGCUGGGGAACAAGGUUUGAUAACAAUCAGAGCAUUUACAAUCUCUCAAAAGAUUAGGAACAUCAGUCAAACCCAAGGCAGGAAGGCGUUAGUAAAAAUAAAAUUAGAAAAAAGAAAAAUAAAAUAGACGGGAAUAGAAGUAGAUGGGGACUGCUCUAGAGGAGCUUGCUAAGUGCUUUCAUUGACUUCCACUUUGAAUUGUGAACUGAGUCCAAAGUCUAUAUGGUUUUGAGAAACCAUUUCCUUACAGAAUGCACAAAUAGCAACCAAGAGAUGCUAUUCUAAGAAGCACUUGUCGCUGUAUUCAUUCAAAGUUGCAACACUGAAUUGUGCCAGGAUUUUUUUUUUCAGCCCUGCUAAUUCUCUGUCAGCUCUAUCCUUCUAGGUAUCUAGCUCAAUCUCAGGCUGUGAAACCAUUUAAGAAAUUGAAAAGCUUUUGAUUCUUAAAAAAGGCAGUAAUACAAGUAUGAAAAAUAUAAUUUGGGAGUGGAUGUAAUAAAAUUCCUACAGGCAUUCAAGCAAAGAAAAACCCUUCUGGUGAAAUCUAUCCCUCUCUAGAACAGCUCAGGCUUAAAAAGGAUGCCAUUAGGUGUAGCGGUUGUGCUUGGUCCCAAAAACGGACUCCACCCUUAAUAAGGUGUUGGACCAGUCAAAACUAUAUUUUGAAUGAAAAAUUAUGUUUUCAACAGAACUGGAUUUCUUUCAAAUGACCAACCACCUCUAGCAGAAAAUGUUACUAUUUCAUCAGGAAUGCCAAGUAAUUAUUUGCCAGAAGCACAAAUACUUUUACCCAGAAGCAUGUGUGGUGUCUUGAGUGGAUUGCAGAGCUGGUGCGCCGGGACCCAGCACCCCAGAGCUCCGCCACUGCUCUUCUGGCCCCGGCGUAGGGAAGAGGAUGGUGUCACGUCUUGGACCACUGCAGCCGCCCACCUUGGCCAGAACGGCGCCUUGCGGCACAGGGACUGUAACGCCCGGUGGGAAUGAACUGGUUUCCCUGUCAGAAUCUCAAAUGAAAGCGGUGCUCUGAGUGCAUAUUACUCUGGGAGACCUGCCGUGUUUAUAUCCCUUACGAGAUAUGUCUUUGUUUUCUGAGGCGCAGAGUGUCUUCUCCAUUUCACAGCACACUAAGGAUUAACACCCAAACUGUAAAAUGCGUUGUACUUCCACUGUUAAUCUGUCACGCAAGGUAAAAAAGAACAAAAAAUAAAACCUCUUCA